rnacentral:rRNA from 1 species
UACGGGGGGAGCAAGCGUUGUUCGGAUUUACUGGGCGUAAAGGGCGCGUAGGCGGUCGUGACAAGUCACUUGUGAAAUCUCCGGGCUUAACUCGGAACGGUCAAGUGAUACUGUCGGACUAGAGUACAGAAGGGGCAACUGGAAUUCUCGGUGUAGCGGUGAAAUGCGUAGAUAUCAGGAGGAACACCGGUGGCGAAGGCGGUUCUCUGGGCAUUACCUGACGCUGAGGAGCGAAAGUGUGGGGAGCGAACAGG